AACCCCCCGUGCGGCGGUAUCUCACCCAACUCCCCCAGGGCCGGAAGGCAGCAAGGGCAAGUGAGCUCUAUCGGGUGUGCGGGGGGCCUUUU
rnacentral:SRP_RNA from 1 species